AUACGUAGGGGCCUGACGUUGUUCGGAAUCAUUGGGCGUAAAGGGCGCGCAGGCGGCCGUCCAAGUCCGGUGUUAAAUGGUCGGGCUCAACCCGAUCAUGCGCUGGAAACUGGGCGGCUGGAGUCCCGGAGGGGAUGCCGGAAUUCCAGGUGUAGGGGUGAAAUCUGUAGAUAUCUGGAAGAACACCGAUGGCGAAGGCAGGCAUCUGGCCGGAGACUGACGCUGAGGCGCGAAGGCGCGGGGAGCGAACAGGUUUAGAUACCCUGGUAGUCCGCGCAGUAAACGAUGCGCACCAGGUGUCGGGCGGCAGCGCCCGGUACCGGAGCAAACGCGAUGAGUGCGCCGCCUGGGGAGUAUGCCCGCAAGAGUGAAACUUAAAGGAAUUGACGGGG
rnacentral:rRNA from 1 species